CGAACAAAAAUUCACAGUUGAUCAUUUCGUUUAGAGUGCAUCUGAUUUAAGCAUAUAAUUGUGCUGGGAUAUCUGGAUUCGGGUUGACGGCGAUUCGCAGAAGCAGCAUCCGCGCCGAAUUCUGGCUAACAUCUGCGAGAGAGUGUGAGCGGUUAGUCAAUUGGUACCGGGGUCAAAUUCAGAUACUUUGAGGUGACCGCCUAACAGGAAGCAGACCAUGCCGGACCCGUUCAUAUUCCUGGACAAAUGGACGACGUGGACGCGACUGACCGGGAACGCCGACGACGACUGGGCGGACCGGCUCAACCACAUUGUUACCGUUGUACUUCUGAUAGCGUUCUCCGUCUUUGUCGUCGGCGGCUCGUACAUGGACGAGAGGAUAGC